rnacentral:rRNA from 1 species
AUUGAACGCUGGCGGCAUGCCUUACACAUGCAAGUCGAACGGCAGCGCGGGGCAACCUGGCGGCGAGUGGCGAACGGGUGAGUAAUAUAUCGGAACGUACCCUAGAGUGGGGGAUAACGUAGCGAAAGUUACGCUAAUACCGCAUACGAUCUGUGGAUGAAAGUGGGGGAUCGCAAGACCUCAUGCUCCUGGAGCGGCCGAUAUCUGAUUAGCUAGUUGGUAGGGUAAAAGCCUACCAAGGCAUCGAUCAGUAGCUGGUCUGAGAGGACGACCAGCCACACUGGAACUGAGACACGGUCCAGACUCCUACGGGAGGCAGCAGUGGGGAAUUUUGGACAAUGGGCGAAAGCCUGAUCCAGCAAUGCCGCGUGAGUGAAGAAGGCCUUCGGGUUGUAAAGCUCUUUUGUCAGGGAAGAAACGGUGGCCUCUAAUACAGGUUGCUAAUGACGGUACCUGAAGAAUAAGCACCGGCUAACUACGUGCCAGCAGCCGCGGUAAUACGUAGGGUGCAAGCGUUAAUCGGAAUUACUGGGCGUAAAGCGUGCGCAGGCGGUUUUGUAAGUCUGUCGUGAAAUCCCCGGGCUCAACCUGGGAAUUGCGAUGGAGACUGCAAGGCUAGAAUCUGGCAGAGGGGGGUAGAAUUCCACGUGUAGCAGUGAAAUGCGUAGAGAUGUGGAGGAACACCGAUGGCGAAGGCAGCCCCCUGGGUCAAGAUUGACGCUCAUGCACGAAAGCGUGGGGAGCAAACAGGAUUAGAUACCCUGGUAGUCCACGCCCUAAACGAUGUCUACUAGUUGUCGGGUCUUAAUUGACUUGGUAACGCAGCUAACGCGUGAAGUAGACCGCCUGGGGAGUACGGUCGCAAGAUUAAAACUCAAAGGAAUUGACGGGGACCCGCACAAGCGGUGGAUGAUGUGGAUUAAUUCGAUGCAACGCGAAAAACCUUACCUACCCUUGACAUGGCUGGAACCCUGGAGAGAUCCGGGGGUGCUCGAAAGAGAACCAGUACACAGGUGCUGCAUGGCUGUCGUCAGCUCGUGUCGUGAGAUGUUGGGUUAAGUCCCGCAACGAGCGCAACCCUUGUCAUUAGUUGCUACGAAAGAGCACUCUAAUGAGACUGCCGGUGACAAACCGGAGGAAGGUGGGGAUGACGUCAAGUCCUCAUGGCCCUUAUGGGUAGGGCUUCACACGUCAUACAAUGGUACAUACAGAGCGCCGCCAACCCGCGAGGGGGGGCUAAUCGCAGAAAGUGUAUCGUAGUCCGGAUUGUAGUCUGCAACUCGACUACAUGAAGUUGGAAUCGCUAGUAAUCGCGGAUCAGCAUGUCGCGGUGAAUACGUUCCCGGGUCU